AAUGAACGCUGGCGGCGUGCUUUACACAUGCAAGUCGAGCGAGGCGUGUAGCAAUACACAGUCGAGCGGCGAACGGGUGAGUAACACGUGGAUUAUCUACCCUAAGGUGGGGAACAACCCGGGGAAACUCGGGCUGAUACCGCAUGAUACCGAAAGGUCAAAGGGGCUCGCAAGGGCUUCCGCCAUAGGGGGAGCCUGCGCCGAUUAGCUAGUUGGUAGGUAAUGGCCUACCAAGGCGACGAUCGGUAGCCGGCCUGAGAGGGUGAUCGGCCACACUGGAACUGAGACACGGUCCAGACUCCUACGGGAGGCAGCAGGUGGGGAAUUUUGCGCAAGUGGGCUAACGCCUGACGCAGCAACGCCGCGUGGAGGAUGAAGGUCCUU
rnacentral:rRNA from 1 species